AUUCCCAAGUCUCUUAGUUGUAAUACUACGUAACAGUAAAUCGUUGAAGCUCUUUAUGGAGCACAGUAUAUUCAUUAGCAGGGUAUAGAUAUUAGGUUAUUGUAGUGUGACUACAAAAGGAAUCAAUUUACUGCUCAAGUUACUCAUAUUGCAUGUGCUGUGCACAAUAUCAGUGCAGGGAUAUGUAUUAUAAAUACACAGUACAGCAUGUAUAGGUUGUCUGCAUCACAACUCAGGGUCAUAAAAAAGAUCUGAAGGGAGGGGGUGGCAUGUAUCGCGUGGGACCGGGAGAAGAGAUGACUCCGAGCUAGAUCCUGAAGGCAGUUUUUGGAUGAGGUGCACCAGAGAAAGGAGAAAGGCAGUGAAAAAGAGAAAACAAGGAAGAUAAAAGGAAAAGAACCAAGUUGGAAUUAGUAAAAAUAUAUCACUGUGAGUUCUCUACAUGAAUUGAGUCCAUUGCUGAGAGGAGUACAGUAAGACAAGAGAUGUAGGCGUUAUAAGAAUGAGAUGCUGAUAAAACAAAUUAGAGAGCUUAGAAGCAUUAAUGAUUUGCUGUUUGGAGACAAGGUGUUCAAUGUGCUGCCAAGCAACUCGCAGACCUCCGGAGAAGAACCUGAAAUAAGGGACACAACAACCAUGGACUUGAUUGAUUUUUCCAGCGCCCCUAUCUCGGUCUGGUGGAUUCAGAACAUAACAGUAAUAGUCUCCCGUGUCUUGUAGCUGGAUGUAGCGGAUCAUCACAGUUAAGUAAUUUUUACUAGGAUUCCCUGUAAACCCCACUCGGCUUUGGAAAUGCUCAAGGUUGUGGUAAGAGAGCUUCUUAUUAUACUGAGUGAACUGUAGGGUGCAAAAAGACAUCCAUGACCUGAAAAAAAUGCUAAUUAAGAUCCAUAUUUAUUUAUCAACAACAGAAAGGCAAAAGUGAACAUACUGUAGAUGCAAAGAAGCAAAAUAAACUGGAUCCCUCACCCAAUGUGUCUGUUUUAGGUACUGACUAUUAAUGAAGAAAUUACAUAUACAAGGGCAAAAAGCAAGCAAGUUGUCUAUACUGUCUGUUUUGUUCUACUGAAUUAGGUUUUGCAUGUGUGCCUCGGUUAUGUAGUUGAACAGAACCAUAGUUUUGUACUGUGUUAACAAAAUAGUAAUCAUUCAUUUACACUAAGGGCAGGGACACAGGUGAAGAUUCAGGGAGAUUUUCCUCAUGAGGCUAA